rnacentral:rRNA from 1 species
ACGAACGCUGGCGGCGUGCUUAACACAUGCCAGUCGAACGGAAAGGCCCUGCUUGCAGGGUACUCGAGUGGCGAACGGGUGAGUAACACGUGGGUGAUCUGCCCUGCACUUCGGGAUAAGCCUGGGAAACUGGGUCUAAUACCGGAUAGGAGCCAUUUUUAGUGUGAUGGUUGGAAAGUUUUUUCGGUGUAGGAUGAGCUCGCGGCCUAUCAGCUUGUUGGUGGGGUAAUGGCCUACCAAGGCGGCGACGGGUAGCCGGCCUGAGAGGGUGGACGGCCACAUUGGGACUGAGAUACGGCCCAGACUCCUACGGGAGGCAGCAGUGGGGAAUAUUGCACAAUGGGCGCAAGCCUGAUGCAGCGACGCCGCGGGGGGGAGGACGGCCUUCGGGUUGUAAACGCCUUUCGCUAGGGACGAAGCUUUUUGUGACGGUACCUAGAGAAGAAGCACCGGCUAACUACGUG